UACGUAGGGUCCAAGCGUUAUCCGGAAUCACUGGGCGUAAAGCGUGCGUAGGUGGAUGUUUAAGUGAGAGGUUAAAUCGUGUGGCUCAACCAUAUCGAUGCCUCUCAUACUGGGCAUCUAGAGGACAGCAGAGGCAAGUGGAACUGGUAGUGUAGCAGUGAAAUGCGUAGAUAUUACCAAGAACACCAAUGGCGAAGGCAGCUUGCUGGGCUACUCCUGACAUUGAGGUACGAAAGCGUGGGGAGCGAACAGG
rnacentral:rRNA from 1 species